rnacentral:misc_RNA from 1 species
AGCAAAUUGAUUGAUAGCUUGUCAAUUAAACUGCUGCGCGCAUAUUUUCCUUUCAAGAAAGAAAUUUUUUUCUUAAAUUAAUUUUUUUGCUUAACUAGUAAUCAGGAAAACUAGAUUACUAUACAAGUUGAUAAGAUUCUUUUUGUGUGUUUUAUACGUGGCUUAAAACAUAUAAUCUUCCAUUCUUUUUGUGGCUGAAUAAUGUAAUUCAAGAUUUCUUAUCAAUACAAGAAAAUAUAUCGUCAAA